rnacentral:rRNA from 1 species
AAUAGAUACCCCGGUAGUCCAUGCCGUAAACGUUGGGCGCUAGAUGUGGGGGACCAUUCCACGGUUUCCGUGCCGCAGCUAACGCAUUAAGCGCCCCGCCUGGGGAGUACGGCCGCAAGGCUAAAACUCAAAGGAAUUGACGGGGGCCCGCACAAGCGGCGGAGCAUGCGGAUUAAUUCGAUGCAACGCGAAGAACCUUACCAAGGCUUGACAUAUACGAGAACGCUCUAGAAAUAGAGAACUCUUUGGACACUCGUAUACAGGUGGUGCAUGGUUGUCGUCAGCUCGUGUCGUGAGAUGUUGGGUUAAGUCCCGCAACGAGCGCAACCCUCGUUCUAUGUUGCCAGCGGUUCGGCCGGGAACUCAUAGGAGACUGCCGGGGUCAACUCGGAGGAAGGUGGGGAUGACGUCAAAUCAUCAUGCCCCUUAUGUCUUGGGCUUCACGCAUGCUACAAUGGCCGGUACAAAGGGCUGCAAUACCGUAAGGUGGAGCGAAUCCCAAAAAGCCGGUCUCAGUUCGGAUUGAGGU